rnacentral:lncRNA from 1 species
AUACUUUUAGUGCAGAUGACCCAGGCAAGUUUGAAAAAUUGGCCUCUUACGAGCCUCUGUCAAGAGAGAACAAGAUGAAGAGUUCAAAGUCGCAAAGUGUGGUCUUGCCUUACCUCAGAAGUCAUGGGACGGUAGAAACAAUAAGGUGUAUUCAUAGGCCAGCGGUGCACCUCUUUUGGGAUGAAAUUUGAAGAAUUGGGAAGUGUCACAAGCCCUGAGGAGUGGCAUUUGCAGCAUGGAGAGA